CACUAAGUAUUUUGCCUGAAUAAAGACUGGAGAAAGGGCCUGUAAUGAGAAUUAUACUCUUCAGGUGCAAAUUCAGUCUCUGGGUCCCUUGUAGGUCAGUCACCUGAAGGCUUAAAUGGCAAGUCCCUUUAUGGCCCAAUGUGCGUCCUCGACGAUUUCAGAAAGAUCCAGCACCAUCUCAGCCCAACAGGGACCUGACUUCGAAUUGCUCCUGUUCAAAUUGAGGCUCAGACCCCCUCCAAGAAUGGUCAUUGGCCUCGCAGAAAACUGAUGGCGAAAGAAGAAAAAAGGGGAGGUGUAUAUUUUUUUCUGCAAGGUGAGUGAAUUGAACUGGCUUACAGGGGUAUCUGAUGAACUCGAGGGCUGGGGAGGAGGUUGAACCACCUGGCCAGAACCAGGAACUGCACAGCCAGGACAGGAGAGGAAAAAGGGGAACAAAGACGUUGGGUAGGGGAAGAACUUUACCUGUUCAGUGAACAGAACAUAUUUGAUCAGUUCAACUGACCAGAACAACUGUUCGUGUUUGGCCUUAAUUACUUCUGCUUACUCUCUUUCAGCCU
rnacentral:lncRNA from 1 species